CACCACUAAUUUUGUGCUUCGGUUUUUUUUAACUCAAGUAAUCUUGCAUUUUGUUCCCAUGCAGGUUUCUACCUGAGGCUUUGUUUACCUUGCUGAGUUUCAACUCCGUUCCAGAGUAUCUCUGAGCGUCUGGAUUAUUAACUACUGAGUUAAGGAACUACCUUCUUGCUCUCACUUCCGUCUGAACCUUUCGGACACGGAACAAGCUGGCGGCUCCCCGUUUCCGUCGACUCCAGGACCUAGGCAUCAGCACACCCUGCUUCUUCUUCUUCUUCUUCUGUGUUAUUUUUUGGCAGUUGGCAAAUAACUUGAAGAUGUGCAUUACCGCCACCGACUGGUAUGGAGUGUGGUUCUUCAUGGUUUUAAAUCUUAUUUACUAUUACAACAAUCAAAUUCUAUGUAUUAAUUUAGUGCUUUUGAAAAAUCUAAUUAUAAUUUUACACCCUGCUUCUUCCUCAUUCUUGAACAUCGGCACCUGAGCUCCUUUUUGUUGGCACCAAGCUCACAACAGAGAAGACAUUUGGACAAUCCUCCUUCGCAAGUUAAUACUCUGAAUCUCUCUACCCCUGGUGGUUCUAGCUCCAAAAAUUUUUUGGUGUUCCCGUCCCAGACUACUUUAUUGACAAUAAAAACCGUAAAACCUUUC